rnacentral:snRNA from 1 species
UGCCCAUCUUGGUCUUUUGGCUAAGAUCAAGCAUUUUUGGCACUACUGGGAAGGUGUCAGGGCUGGCUCUGGUCCUCCCAGUAUCAGCCUGGUAUUGCAGUACUUCUAGGCCUGGUGCCAGUUCC